AUUGAACGCUGGCGGCAUGCUUUACACAUGCAAGUCGAACGGUGACAGGCCGCAAGGUGCUGACGAGUGGCGAACGGGUGAGUAAUGCAUCGGAACGUGCCCAGUCGUGGGGGAUAACGCAGCGAAAGCUGUGCUAAUACCGCAUACGAUCCGUGGAUGAAAGCGGGGGACCGUAAGGCCUCGCGCGAUUGGAGCGGCCGAUGUCAGAUUAGGUAGUUGGUGGGGUAAAGGCUCACCCAGCCGACGAUCUGUAGCUGGUCUGAGAGGACGACCAGCCACACUGGGACUGAGACACGGCCCAGACUCCUACGGGAGGCAGCAGUGGGGAAUUUUGGACAAUGGGCGCAAGCCUGAUCCAGCAAUGCCGCGUGCAGGAAGAAGGCCUUCGGGUUGUAAACUGCUUUUGUACGGAGCGAAAAGGCUCCCUCUAAUACAGGGGGCUCAUGACGGUACCGUAAGAAUAAGCACCGGCUAACUACGUGCCAGCCGCCGCCGUAAAAC
rnacentral:rRNA from 1 species